rnacentral:tRNA from 1 species
GCCUGGGUGGCUCAGUCGGUUAAGCGUCUGACUUCGGCUCAGGUCAUGAUCUCACAGUUCGUGGGUUCGAGCCCCAUGUCGGGCU